UCCUACGGCCAUGCCACCCUCAACAAGCCCAAUCCCGUUUGAUCUCGGAAGCUAAGCAGGGUCGGGCCUGGUUAGUACUUGGAUAGGAGACCACCUAGGAAGACCAGGUGCUGUAAGCA
rnacentral:rRNA from 1 species